UGCAGUCGAGGGGCAGCGGGUAUGUUAGCAAUAACAUAUGCCGGCGACCGGCGCAAGGGUGCGUAACGCGUGAGUAACAUGCCCGUAUCAGGAGGAUAACCCGGAGAAAUCCGGACUAAUACUGCAUAACAUUGAUAAAUGGCAUCAUUUGUUAAUUAAAGUUUCGACGGAUACGGAUUGGCUCGCGUGACAUUAGCUAGAUGGAGAGGUAACGGCUCCCCAUGGCGACGAUGUCUAGGGGUUCUGAGAGGAAGGUCCCCCACACUGGAACUGAGACACGGUCCAGACUCCUACGGGAGGCAGCAGUGAGGAAUAUUGGACAAUGGAUGGAAAUCUGAUCCAGCCAUGCCGCGUGCAGGACUACAGUCCUAUGGAUUUUAAACUGCUUUUGUAUGGGAGCAAUAAGGUCUACGUGUAGAUCGAUGAGAGUACCAUACGAAUAAGCAUCGGCUAACUCCGUGCCAGCAGCCGCGGUAAUACGGAGGAUGCGAGCGUUAUCCGGAUUUAUUGGGUUUAAAGGGUGCGUAGGCGGUUACUGUAAGUCAGUGGUGAAAUUUUAGUGCUUAACAUUAAAAGUGCCAUAGAUACUGCAGAGCUAGAAUGGGGAUGCUGUAUGCGGAAUGUGUAGUGUGGCGGUGAAAUGCAUAGAUAUUACACAGAACACCGAUUGCGAAGGCAGCAUACAAAACCUUGAUUGACGCUGAGGCACGAAAGUGUGGGGAUCAAACAGGAUUAGAUACCCUGGUAGUCCACACAGUAAACGAUGAUAACUAGCUGUAGGCGAUAUACUGUCUGUGGCUAAGCGAAAGCGAUAAGUUAUCCACCUGGGGAGUACGACCGCAAGGUUGAAACUCAAAGGAAUUGACGGGGGCCCGCACAAGCGGAGGAACAUGUGGUUUAAUUCGAUGAUACGCGAGGAACCUUACCCGGGCUCGAACGGUACAUGAACGAUUCAGAGAUGGAGAGGCCAGCAAUGGCAUGUAUCGAGGUGCUGCAUGGUUGUCGUCAGCUCGUGCCGUGAGGUGUCGGCUUAAGUGCCAUAACGAGCGCAACCCUUGUCAAUAGUUACCAUCGGGUCAAGCCGGGGACUCUAUUGAGACUGCCGCCGUAAGGUGAGAGGAAGGUGGGGAUGACGUCAAAUCAGCACGGCCCUUACGUCCGGGGCGACACACGUGUUACAAUGGUAGGUACAGAGAGGAUCUUUUUGGUGACAAAUGGGCAAUCUUAAAAACCUAUCUCAGUUCGGAUUGGAGUCUGCAACUCGACUCCAUGAAGUUGGAUUCGCUAGUAAUCGCGCAUCAGCCAUGGCGCGGUGAAUACGUUCCCGGGCCUUGUACACACCGCCCGUCAAGCCAUGGGAGCUGGGGGUGCUUGAAGAUCGCGACCGUGAGGAACGAUCAAG
rnacentral:rRNA from 1 species